rnacentral:rRNA from 1 species
UACGAAGGGGACUAGCGUUGUUCGGAAUUACUGGGCGUAAAGGGCGCGUAGGCGGGGUGGCAAGUCGGUCGUGAAAUCCCUCGGCUCAACCGAGGAACGUCGAUCGAUACUGCUGUUCUUGAGGAUUGCAGAGGAGACUGGAAUUCCCGGUGUAGCGGUGAAAUGUGUAGGGAUCGGGAGGAACACCGGUGGCGAAGGCGGGUCUCUGGGCAAUUCCUGACGCUGAGGCGCGAAAGCGUGGGGAGCAAACGGG